rnacentral:rRNA from 1 species
GACGAACGCUGGCGGCGUGCUUAACACAUGCAAGUCGAACGGAAAGGCCCUGCUUUUGUGGGGUGCUCGAGUGGCGAACGGGUGAGUAACACGUGAGUAGCCUGCCCUUGAAUUUGGGAUAACUUCAGGAAAAUGGGGCUAAUACCGGAUAGGAGCUCCUGCUGCAUGGUGGGGGUUGGAAAGUUUCGGCGGUUGGGGAUGGACUCGCGGCUUAUCAGCUUGUUGGUGGGGUAGUGGCUUACCAAGGCUUUGACGGGUAGCCGGCCUGAGAGGGUGACCGGCCACAUUGGGACUGAGAUACGGCCCAGACGCCUACGGGAGGCAGCAGUGGGGAAUAUUGCACAAUGGGCGGAAGCCUGAUGCAGCAACGCCGCGUGCGGGAUGACGGCCUUCGGGUUGUAAACCGCUUUCGCCUGUGACGAAGCGUGAGUGACGGUAAUGGGUAAAGAAGCACCGGCUAACUACGUG